rnacentral:rRNA from 1 species
CGGACGGGUGAUUAACACGUGGAUAACCUACCUAUAAGACUGGGAUAACUUCGGGAAACCGGAGCUAAUACCGGAUAAUAUAUUGAACCGCAUGGUUCAAUAGUGAAAGACGGUUUUGCUGUCACUUAUAGAUGGAUCCGCGCCGCAUUAGCUAGUUGGUAAGGUAACGGCUUACCAAGGCAACGAUGCGUAGCCGACCUGAGAGGGUGAUCGGCCACACUGGAACUGAGACACGGUCCAGACUCCUACGGGAGGCAGCAGCGG